rnacentral:rRNA from 1 species
ACAAGCGGUGGAUGAUGUGGAUUAAUUCGAUGCAACGCGAAAACCUUACCUACCCUUGACAUGUCCGGAAUCCCGAAGAGAUUUGGGAGUGCUCGCAAGAGAGCCGGAACACAGGUGCUGCAUGGCUGUCGUCAGCUCGUGUCGUGAGAUGUUGGGUUAAGUCCCGCAACGAGCGCAACCCUUGUCAUUAGUUGCCAUCAUUUGGUUGGGCACUCUAAUGAGACUGCCGGUGACAAACCGGAGGAAGGUGGGGAUGACGUCAAGUCCUCAUGGCCCUUAUGGGUAGGGCUUCACACGUCAUACAAUGGUCGGUACAGAGGGUUGCCAACCCGCGAGGGGGAGCUAAUCCCACAAAGCCGAUCGUAGUCCGGAUCGCAGUCUGCAACUCGACUGCGUGAAGUCGGAAUCGCUAGUAAUCGCGGAUCAGCACGCCGCGGUGAAUACGUUCCCGGGCCUU